rnacentral:rRNA from 1 species
AGACCCGAAACCCGGUGAUCUAGCCAUGGGCAGGUUGAAGGUUGGGUAACACUAACUGGAGGACCGAACCGACUAAUGUUGAAAAAUUAGCGGAUGACCUGUGGCUGGGGGUGAAAGGCCAAUCAAACCGGGAGAUAGCUGGUUCUCCCCGAAAGCUAUUUAGGUAGCGCCUCGUGAAUUCAUCUCCGGGGGUAGAGCACUGUUUCGGCUAGGGGGCCAUCCCGGCUUACCAACCCGAUGCAAACUGCGAAUACCGGAGAAUGUUAUCACGGGAGACACACGGCGGGUGCUAACGUCCGUCGUGAAGAGGGAAACAACCCAGACCGCCAGCUAAGGUCCCAAAGUCAUGGUUAAGUGGGAAACGAUGUGGGAAGGCCCAGACAGCCAGGAUGUUGGCUUAGAAGCAGCCAUCAUUUAAAGAAAGCGUAAUAGCUCACUGGUCGAGUCGGCCUGCGCGGAAGAUGUAACGGGGCUAAACCAUGCACCGAAGCUGCGGCAGCGACACUCAGGUGUUGUUGGGUAGGGGAGCGUUCUGUAAGCCUGUGAAGGUGGCCUGUGAGGGUUGCUGGAGGUAUCAGAAGUGCGAAUGCUGACAUAAGUAACGAUAAAGCGGGUGAAAAGCCCGCUCGCCGGAAGACCAAGGGUUCCUGUCCAACGUUAAUCGGGGCAGGGUGAGUCGACCCCUAAGGCGAGGCCGAAAGGCGUAGUCGAUGGGAAACGGGUUAAUAUUCCCGUACUUGGUGUUACUGCG